rnacentral:rRNA from 1 species
AUUGAACGCUGGCGGCAUGCCUUACACAUGCAAGUCGAACGGUAACAGGUCUUCGGAUGCUGACGUGUGGCGAACGGGUGAGUAAUACAUCGGAACGUGCCCGAUCGUGGGGGAUAACGAAGCGAAAGCUUUGCUAAUACCGCAUAAGAUCUAAGGAUGAAAGCAGGGGACCGCAAGGCCUUGCGCGAACGGAGCGGCCGAUGGCAGAUUAGGUAGUUGGUGGGAUAAAAGCUUACCAAGCCGACGAUCUGUAGCUGGUCUGAGAGGACGACCAGCCACACUGGGACUGAGACACGGCCCAGACUCCUACGGGAGGAAGGAGUGGGGAAUUUUGGACGAUGGGCGAGAGCCUGAGCCAGCCAUGCCGCGUGCAGGAUGAAGGCCUUCGGGUUGUAAACUGCUUUUGUACGGAACGAAAAGACUCUGGUUAAUACCUGGGGUCCAUGACGGUACCGUAAGAAUAAGCACCGGCUAACUACGUGCCAGCCGCCGCCGUAA